GACGAACGCUGGCGGCGUGCUUAACACAUGCAAGUCGAACGGAAAGGCCCUGCUUUUGUGGGGUGCUCGAGUGGCGAACGGGUGAGUAACACGUGAGUAACCUGCCCUUGACUUUGGGAUAACUUCAGGAAACUGGGGCUAAUACCGGAUAGGAGCUGCUGCUGCAUGGUGGGGGUUGGAAAGUUUCGGCGGUUGGGGAUGGACUCGCGGCUUAUCAGCUUGUUGGUGGGGUAGUGGCUUACCAAGGCUUUGACGGGUAGCCGGCCUGAGAGGGUGACCGGCCACAUUGGGACUGAGAUACGGCCCAGACUCCUACGGGAGGCAGCAGUGGGGAAUAUUGCACAAUGGGCGGAAGCCUGAUGCAGCGACGCCGCGUGCGGGAUGACGGCCUUCGGGUUGUAAACCGCUUUCGGCUGUGACGAAGCGUGAGUGACGGUAACGGGAAAAGAAGCACCGGCUAACUACGUG
rnacentral:rRNA from 1 species